AUUGAACGCUGGCGGCAGGCUUAACACAUGCAAGUCGAGCGGGGGAAGGUAGCUUGCUACCGGACCUAGCGGCGGACGGGUGAGUAAUGCUUAGGAAUCUGCCUAUUAGUGGGGGACAACAUCUCGAAAGGGAUGCUAAUACCGCAUACGUCCUACGGGAGAAAGCAGGGGAUCUUCGGACCUUGCGCUAAUAGAUGAGCCUAAGUCGGAUUAGCUAGUUGGUGGGGUGAAGGCCUACCAAGGCGACGAUCUGGAGCGGGUCUGAGAGGAUGAUCCGCCACACUGGGACUGAGACACGGCCCAGACUCCUACGGGAGGCAGCAGUGGGGAAUAUUGGACAAUGGGGGGAACCCUGAUCCAGCCAUGCCGCGUGUGUGAAGAAGGCCUUAUGGUUGUAAAGCACUUUAAGCGAGGAGGAGGCUACUCUAGUUAAUACCUGGGGAUAGUGGACGUUACUCGCAGAAUAAGCACCGGCUAACUCUGUGCCAGCAGCCGCGGUAA
rnacentral:rRNA from 1 species